GUUCUCAGUUCGGACUGUAGGCUGCAACUCGCCUACACGAAGUCGGAAUCGCUGGUAAUCGCGGAUCAGCAUGCCGCGGUGAAUACGUUCCCGGGCCUUGUACACACCGCCCGUCACACCAUGGGAGUUUGUAACGCCCAAAGUCGGUGGCCUAACCUUUAUGGAGGGAGCCGCCUAAGGCGGGACAGAUGACUGGGGUGAAGUCGUAACAAGGUAUC
rnacentral:rRNA from 1 species